AUUCCGAGAUUGUGUGCUGAGGGUUUUCAACUGCAUCUCUAAAGGGAAGGCCAAAGAAAGAGCAACAGGAAAGGAUGGUAAAAAGGGGGUAGAAAGGAAGAAGGAAGGGAAGAAAAAAGGGAAAACAGCAAGCUCUCUUUCCAGAGCCACACAUUUUUUUCUGUUUGCUCAGUGGCAGUCUGUUAAAGAAAUACUUCAUUGUCACUGAACACAGAGUCAUUAAAGGCACCUUGGAAAUUUGGACCCUUUUACUAGAAUCAGGGCUUAAAUAGCAACUUAAUUUAUGACACUUCUCGAGGCUGAUGGCGUUUUUGCUCUAAGACCUGCCUUGCAAGAAAUGUUAAAAGAAGUGCUUUAGAGAGCAGGGAAAUUCUAUAGGUCAGACACUUGGAUCUACAUAAAAAAAGGAAGAAACCAAAGGAGAAAUAAGUGAAGUCCAAAGAGUCCAUGACAGAGAGACUCAGUGGGAUCUAAAAUAAGGAUUCAUUCUUCAGACAACUCCUGCUCAUGGUUUCCCCCUAUCUUUACAAAAUCGAUCUCAGAUUCAUUCAACAUGCAUUCAACAGCUUUCUAUCAAGAAAAGACAUUGUGCUCAAGAGCUGGAGGUGAUAAAGUCCAAUGUGAAUUUCUUAAAUGGCAAAUUACCAGCCAGGAUGAACACACAAAGGCUUCAGCUUUUAUGUACGGCCUAGAAGCCCCAGGGCCCCUGUUCCCCCUGAGCACCCAAGAGCAGCUUCUGAACACUGCAAUGUGCUGGCUGGAGGCCUCUGGAGAAGAGGAGGCCAGACCUGUGAAUUAUGGCAAAUUCUACUGCACCCUGACUUCAGCAACCUCCUAAAUCAGAAAAGGGGGCAUUAAAAAUGUUUUUCCUUCAUGCAAA
ensembl:lncRNA LINC01791 long intergenic non-protein coding RNA 1791